rnacentral:lncRNA from 1 species
CUGCCAGCCUGUUAGCCUUUAUCGUUCAGUCAUUUUAGACCUCAAAAAGAACAUUCCAUCAAGGGAUCAGGUUCUAUCAUCUCACUGGAAUGCAAUUUAAGACAUCAUCUCCAGAAAACUGUGCUAGUUGGCAUCCAGCAGUGCCCAAGUAUUAUUUAACCCACUAGAACCUGUGACUGCAUCAGCUUUAUAUCCUGGACCUCAGCCUGGAACAAAGGAGAGCUACACUUGGAUACUAAACACAAGUGGUCUGGAUAGAUUAUGCUGGGAAAAGAAGCCUGGAGCAGGCAGUACAGUGGGAGAACAAGACAGAAGUGCUUGCCUUGGUGAUCCAAAAAAGGCAGGAUCCGGCCGGGGGCAAGGUGAUUAUUCUGUCUGAUGAGGAGAAUAAGAGCCAGUUUGUGGUAUUGACAGAAGAAUGAAAGUAAAGUCUUGAAAGAUGGGAAGAUCAGGAGCAGUCUGGAGUCAUGGUAUAUGAAUGAACUAGUGAGAGUGGGCACAAAGUCUGAAGAUCUUUGUAGUGCAGCUAAUGUCUAAGGGAGAAUAUACCUACCCUAGAAGAGACAUUAAACAACCAGGAAGCUUACUGCAGGAAAGAAAUCCCUCAGAGUCCUGAAGAUACAGCUUUCAGAACUUAGGUGAAGCAAGAGGACUCAAGGUGUGCAAGAAUGGACAGUACAGAAUGCUCUGCUACACUGCUCAGAUUCCCCCUUCAGGAAGGAAGGACAAAUUCACUCAACUUCUGGGAGCAUUGAUGGUUGAGCUCUCAGCCAUCAGACCUUUUUGGAAGUUGCCCUCUUCUGAAAAGAGGCACAUUGCCCAAGAUCUUUCCUCCUCCAGAGCGCAGGCUGCACCUGAAGUCUGAUUGAUGUGGGGUUGUUAAUAUUCUACUUUAAAAUUUUAAAGUAAUUUUUAUGGAAAAUUUGAUCAUAAUUUUUAAUAACUAUAAUAGAAAAUUCUAAAAAUUCAAAAGUUCAACCAAUCUACAAAGGCCAAAAAUAUUUUCACAGGCCCCCAAAAGAUGAACUCCAAUCUGCUGCCCCUAAACGCAUUCUCCACUGUCUGGAAGAUGUGCAAAGGCAACGGCACAGCGUUCUCCAUCUCAAAUCCUUCAAAGUGCUGUCAGAAUAAAAGAAUCCCCACCAAAA